AGAGGAAGUAAAAGUCGUAACAAGGUUUCCGUAGGUGAACCUGCGGAAGGAUCAUUACCGAGUUAGGGUCCUCUGGGCCCGAAUCUCCAACCCUCUGUAUAUCUACCUCAUGUUGCUUUGGCGGGCCGUUGGGCCUGGCCCACCGUCGGCUUCGGCUGGCGCGCGCCCGCCAGAGACCAUCUCAAACUCAUGUUUAUCAAUGUCGUCUGAGUACUAUAUAAAUAGUUAAAACUUUCAACAACGGAUCUCUUGGUUCUGGCAUCGAUGAAGAACGCAGCGAAAUGCGAUAAGUAAUGUGAAUUGCAGAAUUCAGUGAAUCAUCGAAUCUUUGAACGCACAUUGCGCCCCUUGGCAUUCCGAGGGGCAUGCCUGUUCGAGCGUCAUUACACCACUCAAGCUCUGCUUGGUAUUGGGCCCUCGUCCUCUUGGGGACGUGCCCGAAAAUCAGUGGCGUCGCCGCCUGACUUCAAGCGCAGUAAUUCUUCUCGCUUUGGAAGGAAGGGUCGGUUUGACUGCCAGACAAACCCAUUA
rnacentral:rRNA from 1 species